GAUAGCGAAAUGCAUGUGCAAGAUUAUCAUCAGAUUGAAGAUAUUCCUGGUGCCCCUCAUUCCCAAGAAUUGGCAUUUGCUUUUGUUAUCUGGUCGCUCAUCAAAACAAGUAAGAGAAACUAGGAGGUGAAGGAACAAAUAUAUAAGCGAUCACAGGUCACAAGAACCGGAGAUAUCAGUUAUGUCAAGUGGCAUAUGGUCAGGACUCUGGAGGCACACAUGACACAUAAAUAUACUCCACAUGUACUGGGUAUUUUCCUUUCCCUACUGAGGUCGUCCGCCAAACAUGCAUAUUGAAGUUUUCCCUGCCAACACAUGUUGAAGAUGCUCCGCCACGCCAAGUAGCUUGAAGCUGUAGGUCCCCGGCCUUUACCGUGGACAGCAGUAAACAAUGUGUGGAAGAGUUACUCAGAAUAAAAGAUGCUAUCAGACUAUCAGUUGUUUGCACCCAUUCCAAAAUGUAUAUAUACAGUCAGUAGCUACAAUCGGGGUGUACUGUGCAUGAUUGUCAAGCGCGCACUACCUAGCAUGAAAAAUACUAAGCAUAUCCUCCAUGAGUUGCCGAGAAAUAUAAAUUGUAUGUUCACAAAUCUGCUAGAUUCAAGAGAACGCGAAAAAAAAAAUGCUCAUGAAAAAAAAAACUUCUGCAAGGGCCCAACAUUGCGAGUAUGCAUCGAUUUCUACAUUUGACAAUUGGAACCGUCGAUUCUAAUGCAAAUCCAUAUUUCACGAUCUUCCCAUGCAUCUAGUGCAUCAAGAAGUAAUUCGAGUCAUCGACUACCAGAGUACAGACUACUCUGAGUAAUGCGGUGAAUGCGAACAACUGCACCUGGGCACCAAGAGCAGGGCAGCACAUGGCGGCGGUGGAGCAGAGAACAUAGAGCAAGGGCGAAGGUGUUAGCAGCAACAAGACCCUGAGCCUGAAAGCCACAACGUCUGGUUACCUACCGUGACCGCUGGCCGUAUACACUAGACCGGUACCGAACGCACAUUACGAUUGACCUGGCUAUC
rnacentral:lncRNA from 1 species